AGGAAUGCUGCAUCGUUUAGUCCUCAUUCAUUAGGAUGCUUGAUUGCAUAAGUGAGUUGUCAAAUGGUAUGUGGGAGGCUGUAAUGGCAGCAUGUAGGUUUGUAUGGAAAACAAGUAUGGCACUGUGAAUAUUUUUUUUCUCAUCAUAUAGGUACCUGCACAUAGUGCUUGUGGGGGUUUGUUGAAAACAUUGUCAGCAAAUGAACCAAUUCAUCAAAAGCACAUCCAUCCAGGUAUUUAUCGCCAAGGCUUCUGAGUUCCUGUCACACCUUCCAUUUUAAGAUUUGGGCAACCAGAGACCGUGGCAUCACCAAGUCAGCCUCUACUAGUGAGUUUCAUAUGGAGAUCCAGCUGCAAAUUAAACCUACCCUGCCUUAAUAGAACCUGUGGACAGGGGGAUUGCUGAAAAUACUACAUGCCCUCCCUUGAGCUCAAUACUCCUGGAAUGCAGCCAACUCCACUGGCACAGGUUUUGGGGGCUGAUCCCCCUUCACAAUUCUUCUCUUCGUAUCUAUUAAAGAGGAAGAUGGAGCAGACCUUCAGGUCAGCCAAAGAUACAGAGAUUUUUGGUGAGCUUUCUUCCAACUAUAGAAAAUGAAGAUAGUCAUUUCAGGACAUUACAUUAAGGUAAUAUAUCUGUUAUAAUGGUUCAUGAAUUAUACCAGCAUACCAUUUUUAUCUGUGCCUUGAAAAUU
rnacentral:lncRNA from 1 species